AACUAGCCUCGAUGAAAACGUAAAUCCUAUUGUGCCGGGGUUCGGCGCAAUAAAUUGCAGUGUACAGCGGGAAUUAGC
rnacentral:sRNA from 1 species